CCUGCAGUCUGCAUAAUGAAUGUGUAUGCUGAGUAAGGCGUGCAGCAGAAUGGAUUCAAAUGAAACGAUCCUUAAACCAUGGGGGUUUUGUAUACAACUAGGUGUGAGGGUGAGGGGUGAGGGGUAAGUAUGUGUGUUCGUUUGUUUGUGUUUUAAAUACACUUACCACCAAAGAGAGUAGCAAGUUAAUUUCCAUUGGGUACUGGGGGAAGGAGGCAGGUCAUUAUCAGUAUUUAUCAUAGUCUGGUAAUGUUUCAGUUUCCUGUUUAUGAUGCCUUUCCUUUGAGGGCGCGCUAGACAUCACGCUCUGAGACCAGCUUGCUGGUCUGAGAGGAGUUUUUGCACAAUGCUGGAGGUGCAGCUCUCUCUGUGGCUCAGUCUGACUCUCAGGCCACUGACUCAAAACAAAACCCCUGAGCUCUGCCUUUGUGGUUUCCUCUGCAUGCACCCCCUUUCAUAUGGUACUUGGUCCCUCCAUCUCUGUCUCUCUCGCUUUCUUCCUUUCUCUCUCUCUCGUGUUUGUCUCCUCUGGUACUUCAGAGGGGGCAGAACUAUAUUUGCUCUUUUGAGAUAAUCAGUGAUUCAGUUUUGUUAUGAGGAAUAAUUCAUUCCUCAGCACUCUGAUCAGAGGGCCUAUCAGAAAUCCAUCUCAGACAGUUUGAAAGCUUUCUAAUCAUGGACUUUCUUUAGCCAUUUUUUUCCCCCCUGAGCUAGCGAGCCAAUUUUAACAAGAUGUGAGCAAAUUUAAGUAAUAUACUGUAGACUGGGCGCAACUUUUUGAUUGCAAGUGUAACAAGUGUUUCAAUACUAACACCGUUACUAGAAUGGAUAAAAUCAGGUAAGUAUGGACCAGAUCAGAAGACAACAGAUUUGACUCGAGAGAGAGAGAGAGAGAGAGAGAGACGGUUUGCACAUCAAGAAUGAAGCACACGGAAGCAGGAUCUAUAUUUCAAAGGUCAAUCACAUGGGUGGCUCGUCAGUCCGCACGCCGCUGUAGCUCUCCAGGGAAGGCAAGCAGGGGCAGAGGAAUCCAGGAUCCAGCACAGCAGUUCAAAUCGAACAACAAAAAACCAACACACACACAAAAAAAAAAAACCCGGCCUUGCAACACAAA